rnacentral:rRNA from 1 species
GACGAACGCUGGCGGCGUGCUUAACACAUGCAAGUCGAACGGAAAGGCCCUGCUUUUGUGGGGUGCUCGAGUGGCGAACGGGUGAGUAACACGUGAGUAACCUGCCCUUGACUUUGGGAUAACUUCAGGAAACUGGGGCUAAUACCGGAUAGGAGCUCCUGCUGCAUGGUGGGGGUUGGAAAGUUUCGGCGGUUGGGGAUGGACUCGCGGCUUAUCAGCUUGUUGGUGGGGUAGUGGCUGACCAAGGCUUUGACGGGUAGCCGGCCUGAGAGGGUGACCGGCCACAUUGGGACUGAGAUACGGCCCAGACUCCUACGGGAGGCAGCAGUGGGGAAUAUUGCACAAUGGUCGGAAGCCUGAUGCAGCAACGCCGCGUGCGGGAUGACGGCCUUCGGGUUGUAAACCGCUUUCGCCUGUGACGAAGCGUGAGUGACGGUAAUGGGUAAAGAAGCACCGGCUAACUACGUG